UGCCAAAAACAAAACGCAAUACAUUUUUUGCACGUGAAUUUUUAUACAAAAAUAAUAUUGUCAUGUUUAUUUUCGAAUUAUAAUCUCAAAAUAGAUACUGAAUUAAAUGAAAAAAAUAUGAUUUCGAUGGGCCCUCUAAAACACUCUCCGAAAGUUGGCCUGAAAUUAACACGAACCAAAUAAAUUUUCAAUGGUUUUAAAUUUUCAAAAAAAACAGUGGUUUCUAGUAGAAAAACUCACAACACACUGCCUAUAAGUUGUAUUUAACAGCUAUAUAUCUAAACUGGCUGAAUGAUCAAUAUAAACUUAUUGGAUAAACAUAGAAAAAAUUAUUUAAAAAGUUAUUUAUUUUGCACUUUAAACAACAGCAUAUUUUUGGUAUGUGAUUAACUAAAAAC